CCUACGGGUGGCAGCAGUGAGGAAUAUUGGUCAAUGGUCGGAAGACUGAACCAGCCAAGCCGCGUGAGGGAUGAAGGUGCAGAGUAUCGUAAACCUCUUUUGUCAGGGGACAAAGGCAGGGUCGCGUCCCCGGAUGAGUGUACCUGAAGAAAAAGCAUCGGCUAACUCCGUGCCAGCAGCCGCGGUAAUACGGAGGAUGGGAGCGUUAUCCGGAUUUAUUGGGGUUAAGGGGUGCGUAGUCGGUCUGUUAAGUCAGCGGUAAAAGCCCGGGGCUCAACCCCGGCCGGCCGUUGAAACUGGCAGUCUUGAGUUGGAGAGAGGUAUGCGGAAUGCGCGGUGUAGCGGUGAAAUGCAUAGAUAUUGCGCAGAACUCCGAUUGCGAAGGCAGCAUGCCGGCUCCAAACUGACGCUGAGGCACGAAAGCGUGGGUAUCGAACAGGAUUAGAUACCCGAGUAGUC
rnacentral:rRNA from 1 species